rnacentral:rRNA from 1 species
CAAUAGCGUAUAUUUAAGUUGCUGCAGUUAAAAAGCUCGUAGUUGGAUUUCGGGUGGGAAUGGCCGGUCCGCCGUUUCGGUGUGCACUUGCUACGCCCACCUUGCUGCCGGGGACGUGCUCUUGAGUUCACGCUCGGGACACGGAGUCGGCGAGGUUACUUUGAGUAAAUUAGAGUGUUCAAAGCAGGCCUACGCUCUGAAUACAUUAGCAUGGAAUAACACGAUAGGACUCUGGCCUAUCUUGUUGGUCUGUAGGACCGGAGUAAUGAUUAAGAGGGACAGUCGGGGGCAUUCGUAUUUCAUUGUCAGAGGUGAAAUUCUUGGAUUUAUGAAAGACGAACUACUGCGAAAGCAUUAGCCAAGGAUGUUUUCAUUAA